rnacentral:rRNA from 1 species
UACGGGAGGCAGCAGUGGGGAAUAUUGCACAAUGGGCGAAAGCCUGAUGCAGCUAUGCCGCGUGUAUGAAGAAGGCCUUAGGGUUGUAAAGUACUUUCAUCGGGGAGGAAAAACAAAACUAAUAAUUUUAUUUCUUGACGUUACCCGAAAAAGAAGCACCGGCUAACUCCGUGCCAGCAGCCGCGGUAAUACGGAGGGUGCUAGCGUUAAUCAGAAUUACUGGGCGUAAAGAGCACGUAGGUGGUUUUUUUAAAGUCAGAUGUGAAAUCCCUGGGCUUAACCUAGGAACUGCAUUUUGAAACUGAAAUACUAGAGUAUCGUAGAGGGAGGUAGAAUUCUAGGUGUAGCGGUGAAAUGCGUAGAUAUCUGGAGGAAUACCUGUGGCGAAAGCGGCCUCCUAAACGAAUACUGACACUGAGGUGCGAAAGCGUGGGGAGCAAACGAGGGAUUAGAUACCCGU